GACGAACGCUGGCGGCGUGCUUAACACAUGCAAGUCGAACGGAAAGGCCCUGCUUUUGUGGGGUGCUCGAGUGGCGAACGGGUGAGUAACACGUGAGUAACCUGCCCUUGACUUUGGGAUAACUUCAGGAAACUGGGGCUAAUACCGGAUAGGAGCUCCUGCUGCAUGGUGGGGGUUGGAAAGUUUCGGCGGUUGGGGAUGGACUCGCGGCUUAUCAGCUUGUUGGUGGGGUAGUGGCUUACCAAGGCUUUGACGGGUAGCCGGCCUGAGAGGGUGACCGGCCACAUGGGGACUGAGAGACGGCCCAGACUCCUACGGGAGGCAACAGUGGGGAAUAUUGCACAAUGGGCGGAAGCCUGAUGCAGCAACGCCGCGUGCGGGAUGACGGCCUUCGGGUUGUAAACCGCUUUCGCCUGUGACGAAGCGUGAGUGACGGUAAUGGGUAAAGAAGCACCGGCUAACUACGU
rnacentral:rRNA from 1 species